UCUUCAGUGGUGAUGGUUAGGAUGCUGGGCUUGUAACUCAGAGGUUGCAGGUUCAAAUCCCAGGAGUG